rnacentral:rRNA from 1 species
CAUUAUAGCCAUGCCACCCUGAGCACGCCCGAUUUCGUCAGAUCUUGGAAGCUAAGCAGGGUUGGGCCUGAUUAGUACUUGGAUGGGAGACCACCUAGGAAGACCGGGUGCUGUAGGCU